ACAGUCCAUUAGUGAAGGGAUGUCUGAUAAGAGCAACUGACAGCAGUAAGGGGUUAAUUUACUAGACAGGAAUAAGUGAAUGUAAUAGCUUGGAUAAAGGUGGCUAACGGUAGGUAUGAGAACCAUUUGCAAGGGUGCAAAGAGGGAAAGGAGGCCCCAUCUCCAGGACCAUUUAAAGUGAGUACUGCGACAAAGACCUAGAGACUACACUGUAGGGGGUAAUCCUGCCCUGGCUAUGGGAUUGGAGAAGGAAGAGGAUGGAUUCAAUAUCACCACCCCCAAAGUGGCCAUCUUUCCCCCGUCGAAGCAGGAGAUCAAAGAGAAGAGGAAGGCCACCCUGGUGUGCCUGGUCACAGAUUUCUACCCUGAUCACAUCAAGCUGGUUUGGCGGGUGAACGAUGUUGAGAGGAAAGAGGGGGUGAGGACAGAUGAAUCUAUCAUGGACAAAGCCUCAAAAAAAUACUCACUGACCAGCCGCCUGAGGAUCUCACACCAGGAAUUUUCCAACUCCAAGAAUAGAUUCCAGUGCUUUGUUGAGUUCUACGAGAAUUACACACACACAUAUGAAGAAGUCAUCCGUGGUGCAGCUGGUUGCAGUGUCUCAGAAGAGUCGUAUCUGAGAAGUGCCAUGGCAGGCAAGAGUGUGUAUGUUCUGCUCAUUUUCAAGAGUGCCUUGUAUGGGGUCUUUGUGAUGGGGCUAAUGCUAAGGAACAAGAAAGUGCAGUAGAAGAAGCUGGCCUGAGGCGGAUGGCACAGCUGCCUGGAGAAAGAAGGAGCUGCAGCUGCAUUCGUUUUACAAGUCCUCAUUUGUUUCAGAAACCAGCACAGCACUUAGGCUUUUGUUACAAUAAAUGUACAAAGACCGCAAUUUGGGGUUGUCUGGCUGUAUUUGCUUGUUUGAAACAGCAGCUUUUAAUAAACAUUUAUGGAAUCCUUAA